GAUGAACGCUGGCGGCGUGCCUAACACAUGCAAGUCGAGCGAGAAGCCAUAAAAGGACACUUCGGUAGAAUUAUAUGGCGGAAAGCGGCGGACGGGUGAGUAACGCGUGGGAAACCUGCCUUUCACAGAGGGAUAGCCGAAGGAAACUACGAUUAAUACCUCAUAAAGCAAAAGCUUCGCAUGGAGCGAUUGCCAAAGAAUAAUCGGUGAAAGAUGGUCCCGCGUCUGAUUAGUUAGUUGGUAAGGUAGCGGCUUACCAAGGCGACGAUCAGUAGCCGGCCUGAGAGGGUGAACGGCCACAUUGGAACUGAGACACGGUCCAGACUCCUACGGGAGGCAGCAGUGGGGGAUAUUGCACAAUGGGCGAAAGCCUGAUGCAGCAACGCCGCGUGAAGGAAGAAGGCUUUCGAGUCGUAAACUUCUGUCCAAAGGGAAGAAAAGAU
rnacentral:rRNA from 1 species